rnacentral:lncRNA from 1 species
CGUGAUCUCUGGUUUGCAUUUUCUUAUUGCUAUUUACAUUACUACAAACCUUCUUAUGUGCUUUAUUUCCUCAUUACCUUUGCUGCACACCUUUACAAACACGUGUUCAAGUUAAGCUUUUCAAGUUCGGUUUUUAUCGUAUGAAAGAUUUGUAGAAACCAACGUUUUAAUCCGCUGCACUAAUUCACCCCCCCCCCCUCUUAGUGCAG